AGUAUGCUUAGAUGAGCAUCAUGUCACACUAAGAAUUGAAUAGAAACUAGAAAUACGUCAUUUUUAUUUUUAUUUUAACUAUUAUUCGGCUCUAAUCGGGUUAAUGUCAUAGAAGCUGGUUGGCAGGUUCCUAAAUUAAGGCGAUUUUAUCUGCUGUAUUUACACUGUGUUUUUUCUCACUCUGCAUAAGAGGGCGCUAUACAUCUAUAUACAGUAAAUGCCGUAAUCUGCAAAAACCCACCCUACCCUUCAACUUUCCCCCUGCAUGACCUCACACCUCAAAUCCGCCGCAAGCGACAAGACAAAAACACAGCGCUGCCAUUAUAAUCAACGAGAACGUUUCCAGCGCUGUGCGCUUGCAGAGUAGAUGUGUUGUGAGGAAACACGCUGCUCUGUCCGCUGCCUGACGUCACCCUGGCGCGCGCUUCCAUAGAUGCGAGCGCGAGAGUACAGUGACAGCGCCUCGUCCACUGUACGCAACACUGAGCGCGGCUCAGCACUAUCUCAGGCUACACGCGAGAAACGGCAGCAGAUCAUGGGAUGUGACUAGGCAACAUCCCGCUUUAUUUGAGGCCGGUCGUCCGCUCUGCACUCACGGGGUGCAGUACUUUAAACUCACCGUUCCCAUUAUUUGAAUCAAGUGAUCACUGCCCUCCUGUCAUCCCAGAAUAACGUUGGAAGCUUUAACAUUUGUAUUAAUUAUUCUUCGAGUUUCUAUCCCACUCUACCGGUUCGACUCUGACUUCAAGCUGAGGCUCAAUAACUGGAUUUUAUCGGUGGAACAAAAGGCGACUGCUGCUGCCUGGAUAUUAAAUUUUACUCUUGGAUUAUUGUCUCAGCAUCAUGAGCACGAGUGUACCCUAUCAGCAAAGCUCAUGCAGCAGUGAACGAAGCUCCGGACCAAUACACUGCUUUCGCUGCCGGGAGGUGUGCAAAGGAGAGGUGGUACGAGUGCAGCAUGUGCACUUCCACAUCAAAUGCUUCACCUGCCAAGUGUGUGGCUGUGAUUUGGCACAUUCCGGAUUCUUCCAGAAGAGUGGUGAGUACAUCUGCACAGCAGACUACCAGCGCCUGUACGGAACAAAGUGUGACAGCUGUGAGGACUUUAUCUCAGGGGAGGUGGUCUCUGCUCUGGGCCGCACAUAUCAUCCACAGUGUUUCGUUUGCAGCGUGUGCAGACACUUCAGACAGAUUAAACGUGAUGAACGCUGGUGGGAUGCUGGUAAAUUAUGCUCAUUUACUAAUGUGCUGAUGACUGAAUCUCAUUUAUCCACUCCCUGA
rnacentral:lncRNA from 1 species